rnacentral:rRNA from 1 species
CCUACGGGGGGCACCAGUGGGGAAUAUUGGACAAUGGGCGAAAGCCUGAUCCAGCAAUGCCGCGUGUGUGAAGAAGGUCUUCGGAUUGUAAAGCACUUUCGAUGGGGACGAUGAUGACGGUACCCGUAGAAGAAGCCCCGGCUAACUUCGUGCCAGCAGCCGCGGUAAUACGAAGGGGGCUAGCGUUGCUCGGAAUGACUAGGCGUAAAGGGCGCGUAGGCGGUUUAUGCAGUCAGAUGUGAAAUCCCCGGGCUUAACCUGGGAACUGCAUUUGAGACGUAUAGAUUAGAGGUCGAGAGAGGGUUGUGGAAUUCCCAGUGUAGAGGUGAAAUUCGUAGAUAUUGGGAAGAACACCGGUGGCGAAGGCGGCAGCCUGGCUCGAUACUGACGCUGAGGCGCGAAAGCGUGGGGAGCAAACAGGAUUAGAUACCCCGGUAGUC